AUGUCAACUAUUUCUGAUCAGAAGAAACGGACCUUAGAAGCCAUUCAACAACGGUAUGCAGCAGCUAAAGCUAAGAAGCUGAAAGAUGAACAGCCUAAGUGCCCGAAGAACAAAGAGACUACCCCCAAGCCCAAGUUUGAUGCACGGAUUAAAGGAAAAACUCCCAAAUUCACUCCUUCUCGAACCUCUGCCCAGCUCUCUACAUUUAGAGGUUUUUAUUUUGGAAAUUCCAGUCAUCAACAAAACACUUCUGGUUCCUCAGGUGGAGAAGUCAACCCUAUAUACUCUGAGCUUUCAUUUGCUCUCCAUGAAAAUCUGUCCCAAGGUGACUAUUCGGAUCUCGACAGCACGGAGAUAGUUGACAGUGUUGUACAUGACAUAAUUCAGAAAGGUGGAGAAGCCGGAAGAAUCGCCAAGGGAUCUAAAAAGUUAAAGCUGGAUAGAGGGAUUCUUUUGGAUAACUAUGUUCAAAGGGGUCCUAUAUUAGUGGAUGCACAAUCACGGUCUUUGUUGACCCAUUCAAAGCGAUCAAAAAGACACAUGUCAAUGAAGCAACAUAAGAAAUGUGGGUCAUUUGGUUUACAUGAUACAUUCCGCAGGUUUGACCUCUAUAAGCCAAUGCAUGAAAUGUGGAAAGAGUAUAUGUGA
rnacentral:rRNA from 1 species